rnacentral:rRNA from 1 species
UACGAAGGGGGCUAGCGUUGCUCGGAAUCACUGGGCGUAAAGCGCCCGUAGGCGGCUUUCUAAGUCAGGGGUGAAAUCCUGGAGCUCAACUCCAGAACUGCCUUUGAUACUGGAGAGCUUGAGUCCGGGAGAGGUGAGUGGAACUCCGAGUGUAGAGGUGAAAUUCGUAGAUAUUCGGAAGAACACCAGUGGCGAAGGCGGCUCACUGGCCCGGUACUGACGCUGAGGGGCGAAAGCGUGGGGAGCAAACAGG